GUGGUCCACCUCUUUGGGAAGCUCCGGGUCCCGAAGGGUACCCCAAGUCCUGGGGAGAGAUUGUCAGCAUUUCCAGGUGAAGGACGGGAGGCGGAGCAGCUGCAGCAGGGACCAGGGAUGGGCUGGCACUGGGGAGCCAGGGGUCAUACAGAGGGAGGGUGGCGGGGGCAAGCGAGGUCCCCCAGAAUUCCUUGACUCAUGGCUUGGGAGACAGACACCCAGAAGAGGACUCACCGGAGUCUCCUGGAGCUGGGAAAAGCAGGGUGGUGUCGGGCCCAGGGCUCCCCACCAGGGCCCAGGUGGCCUCCCCUUCCUCUUGUGGACAGUGGUCAGGGCCUGGGCCUGCAGCCAGGGGCUGUCUCUGUCAGGCUUCUCCGAGAUGUGCUCAUGCUACCGUAAGAUGAGUGAUGGCAUCGCCAUGACCCCUAAGAGUUCCAGAAGUCACGACUGGGGCCUUUGCAGAAGGGAUCCUGGCUGGGCCACCCAAGCUGCGUUCCUUCCAGAGCAGGAACAUAUCUGGGGGUCAAUCCAUGGAAAAGAGGAGAGGAGCGGAGGGAGAGUUAAGAAGGGUGAGGACGAUGCCAGGGGCCUUAUGAAUUGGCCACCGCAGGGGUGACAGGGCCCUGGGCAACAGGAUCUUCUGAGCCAAGGGACAAGGGAGUGUGUUGCUCCCCACACUGGUGCGGUCUCCUGGCCAGGCCACAACCCCUGCGCUUGCUCUCCGGCUGCGCCAAGGGGAUCCAGCACCCCUAGGCAGCCCAGGGGUGCCCCAGGCAGGAAGUGAGGCAGGCACAGGUGCAGGGCCCAGCAGGGAGCAGCGGGGCUGAGCAUGAGCUGAGGACCCGAGGACUAGGGUGGCCCAGGACACUCCCAGUCCUGCCGGCUGCCCUCUGCCUCUGCUCCUCCCCCUCGAGAGAUGGACACCUGUACCCAGCAGCCCUGACCGCGUGUCUUCCAGCUCUGUCUUCUCCCGCCCUUGUGGUCCCUGGUCUCUGUUCCUCCUUCUGGGAGGUUCCUCAGCCUCUGCUUCUGCUGACAGCUGAUGGCCAACUUCUGAGACCUAAGUUCAAAUUUCCAAGCCCAUAUCCCAAGGGGGCAGGUGGUCCCAUCACCCCUCCGGGCCCUACUGUCCUGUCCCUGAGCCCAGGGGUCAGACGCCCUCGCGAGGCUCAGGAAACCCAUUUUCGUUUCCCAACAGCUCUGCUGUCAGGAAGCCGUCGGAUCCCUCCUUCUACUGGCUUCUGAUCUUAGAAGAGAUGGAGAAGGUAUCUGCCUGUUGCCUGGGGUGGGGUGGCGUGGGUCAUACUGAGGGUCUCCCACAGGGGCCAUCAUCCCAAAGAGCCCCCGUGGCCAGCAGAACAAGGGCUCCUGAAGAUGCCCCCAGUGCUGUGCAGCAGGUUGGGGUGGGGGGGUUAGUUUGCUGAUGACAUCAAGGGGGUGAAGGGAGAGGUCUGACGGCGUGGAGAUUAUGCUGGGUCAUCUGGGCCCACUCCAACCCCUGGGGUCCUUAAAUGCAGAGGGGGGCAGACAAGGAUGCCUUCACCUGCCAUUACAGGUGGAAGGGGAAGGGGCUGUGAGCCCAGAGAUGCAGGUGGCCCCUACAGCAGGAAAACGUGGAAAGAGCCAUAUGGUGGCCCAGGGAAUCGGGAGUCAGGCAGGAGGAGGAGAUGGGCCCCCAAGCUUCCCUGCGACUGGGCAGGGUGGAUCCCCCGGGUUAGGAGCCAAGCCAACCAGAGUGGCCUGUCCGACGGGCUCUACCCUGCCCUGCCCUCCAAGGCAGCAGCCCCAGUGCCAGUCAUCCGUGACAGUCUGAUGCCACCAUCUCCUGUGCAGCUAGACCACGGGUGCCACGCUGCAGCUGGCAUCUCGCUGGGGACAGGCCUCGGAGGGAGCCUGCAGUCCUCUUCUCUUGUCUGUCCUGCUUGAGGAGCGUCACACCCCCACUGAGCCUCAGUUUCCCCUUUGCCCUCAGGCCCCUUCCUUGAGCUGUGAAGGACACGCUGAGUAUGACGUUCUGCUGAAUGCAGGCACGGCCCAGGUGGCUCAGGUGGCCGCUGGGGAGGACCACAGGGCUGCAGGCCUGGGAGGUCUGAGCCCGCUUCUCCACUGGAAAAGGGGCCAGGGGCAGAUGAUGGAGUCCGUCCUCUGACUCAGGCCCAACGUUCCCCCCGUGCCCACUGGUGUCGUGGGAGGGCCAGAUGGCGUCCAUCUUGGUGAAGGAGGAGCUCGGACCCCGGGGAGCAGAUGAAAAGCGAGGUUGGACGUG
rnacentral:lncRNA from 1 species